AACGAACGCUGGCGGCAGGCCUAACACAUGCAAGUCGAGCGCGCCCUUCGGGUGAGCGGCGGACGGGUGAGUAACGCGUGGGAACGUGCCCUUUGCUACGGAAUAGUCUCGGGAAACUGGGGGUAAUACCGUAUGAGCCCUUCGGGGGAAAGAUUUAUCGGCAAAGGAUCGGCCCGCGUUGGAUUAGGUAGUUGGUGGGGUAAUGGCUCACCAAGCCGACGAUCCAUAGCUGGUUUGAGAGGAUGAUCAGCCACACUGGGACUGAGACACGGCCCAGACUCCUACGGGAGGCAGCAGUGGGGAAUCUUAGACAAUGGGCGCAAGCCUGAUCUAGCCAUGCCGCGUGAGCGAUGAAGGCCUUAGGGUUGUAAAGCUCUUUCGUGGGGGAAGAUAAUGACUGUACCCCAAGAAGAAGCCCCGGCUAACUCCGUGCCAGCAGCCGCGGUAAAAAUGCGUACU
rnacentral:rRNA from 1 species